AUUGAGAGGAGAAUUUUACCUAUCGAAACAUUCUUGGGAUGCUUCUUUAUGAGGAUUGUUAUUAGGGCAGAGAUGUAAUUCAAAAUAUCCCUGGUGAUUGGAUGUGAGUUCUAUUUCAACAUCGAUUUCCUGAAAGAUUGAAAUUAUAGGUUGUGGGAAGAAAAAGAAUGAAAUUUUGAGUUUCACCUCGCCAACGGUGUAGUGUCUAACAAUCGUCCCUUUUGCAUAAUCUCCACCAGCUUCGUGAGGUUUCGGAUCAGGCAAAUGAUAAGCAUCUCCACAAAUCCCGCAUUCUCCUUUAUUCUGCACCCAUUGCACUACGUCGGAUAAUUGAAACAUACAUCAAGAAAAUAAGAAGUAAAGAAGAAAAAAAAAAGGUGACGAGAGGUGGGGAAUUGUAAUCGGAGCAGCGAAAGGGACUGUGGCCAAAAUACUUUCAAUAUGUACAUAAACGAAUCCGUAUAAUCUCUCGAGGGUCACGUUAAAUGCGUGAUUUGUAAAUUGAGAUUUUACUUUCUUCAAAAUUGUCUCAUUGGGAAAAUUUGUACGCGAC